AGCUUUCUAUGAGAAGCUACCAAGGAAGAGGCAUGAAGGAGAGCAUGUAGAAGAGGAGACUCCAGUUUGCAGGAGGCAAGGAACUGGGAAGCAAAUGAGAAGACCACAGUCAGAAAGUUCCACAGAUCUGCAGGUCUAUGAACCUGAGGGAGGAGAGAGAAAGCUGCCAGUCUUGGCAGGAGAAGAAAGGACACAGAGGAAAAGAGACCAGAGACUCCUGGGGCAUCAGAAGGCAGAGGAUGAGGAACAGCAGAAGCAGUGAGAACACACAUCUUGCAUGAAGCUCAUCACUUCUGAACAAGCAAUACAUUGGUCAACCAAUACACUACUUGGUCAUCUGCAAGACCUCCAGUGCUCACUGCAUACACACCAAAUCCAAAACGCUGAUUGUGA